CAAUAGCGUAUAUUAAUGUUGUUGCAGUUAAAAGCUCGUAGUUGAAUUUCUGGAGUUUAAUAUCAAUCCGGGUGUUUGUUUUGAGGGCUUCGGUUCUCUUUACAACCCUGUGUAUUGUCUUUAUUAAACCUCCAUCUUAGUAGUGAGUGUAACUGGCAUUAGGUUGUCGGGUGCAGGAGCUGCUUCGUUUACUGUGAAUAAAAUAGAGUGUUUAAAGCAGGCAUUACGCCUUGAAUACUUCAGCAUGGAAUAAAAUUAUAGGACUUUGGUGCUAUUUUAUUGGUUUGCACACCGAGUAAUGAUUAAUAGGGACAGUUGGGGGUAUUCAUAUUUGAUUGUCAGAGGUGAAAUUCUUGGAUUUAUGAAAGAUGAACUUAUGCGAAAGCAUUUACCAAGGAUGUUUUCAUUAAUCAAGAACGAAAGUUAGGGGAUCGAAGACGAUUAGAUAUCGU
rnacentral:rRNA from 1 species